UUAUCUGGUUGAUCCUGCCAGUAGUCAUAUGCUUGUCUCAAAGAUUAAGCCAUGCAUGUCUAAGUAUAAGCAAUUUAUACAGUGAAACUGCGAAUGGCUCAUUAAAUCAGUUAUCGUUUAUUUGAUAGUUCCUUUACUACAUGGAUAUCUGUGGUAAUUCUAGA
rnacentral:rRNA from 1 species